UUUAAAUGUAUUUGAUAAGUUACUAGAAUGCCAUAUUGGUUUCUAUCUACAAUUCGUCCAAUGAACGAAGUCACUGCUAUAUAUGAGGAACAGUUAAAUAAUAAUUUCAAAAUACUGAAUUGGUUAACGUUAAUUUUUCUCUGAUCGUCUACCGCAAUAGCAACGUGAUUGUUAUGUUGAAUAUAUUAGAAUGAUUUCAAUCGUGCAAUCAAACAAAAGGAUAUUUGUAGGAAGGAAAGGAAUUUCUACAAGCUAAUGUAAUUUCACCGAUGUCAAUUCAAUGGAACUCAGAGAUAAUUUUGCAGACAUCGUGUUUAUGUAAUUUUAAUAUCUCAUCAAUUUUAAAUGUUUUUUCUGAGAUUUUAUUUUAUUCUAUUAAGGUAAG